GAAAGAUGGUUCUGCUAUCACUCUUGGAUGGACCUGCGGUGCAUUAGCUAGUUGGUAAGGUAACGGCUUACCAAGGCAAUGAUGCAUAGCCGAGUUGAGAGACUGAUCGGCCACAUUGGGACUGAGACACGGCCCAAACUCCUACGGGAGGCAGCAGUAGGGAAUCUUCCACAAUGGACGAAAGUCUGAUGGAGCAACGCCGCGUGAGUGAAGAAGGGUUUCGGCUCGUAAAGCUCUGUUGGUAGUGAAGAAAGAUAGAGGUAGUAACUGGCCUUUAUUUGACGGUAAUUACUUAGAAAGUCACGGCUAACUACGUGCCAGCAGCCGCGGUAAUACGUAGGUGGCAAGCGUUGUCCGGAUUUAUUGGGCGUAAAGCGAGUGCAGGCGGUUCAAUAAGUCUGAUGUGAAAGCCUUCGGCUCAACCGGAGAAUUGCAUCAGAAACUGUUGAACUUGAGUGCAGAAGAGGAGAGUGGAACUCCAUGUGUAGCGGUGGAAUGCGUAGAUAUAUGGAAGAACACCAGUGGCGAAGGCGGCUCUCUGGUCUGCAACUGACGCUGAGGCUCGAAAGCAUGGGUAGCGAACAGGAUUAGAUACCCUGGUAGUCCAUGCCGU
rnacentral:rRNA from 1 species